GUUUCUGCUCUUCUUCGAGGAUAUGCAAUGUGAUAAAUUCCCCUCUGGGAUUAAUAUUCUGAUUCUGAUAUUCAGUCUAUGCUUUUAUUCAGCAAGAAGAAAACUUCAUAAGGAUACUGUGUAUUGACAUAUUCUGGCAAUUCAUUCCCUGGUUUCUGCCACUUGAAGUUUCAUUUAAAGCCAUAUAUUUUUACUAGAAAUAAUGUAUUUUUAGAUUAAGUGUGAAAGUUAACUCCCACCCCAUUUUAUGCAACACAACAAAUCUCUGUUGUAAAGUAAAUUAGUGUCUGAUUUUAGCAAAAUAAGCAACAAAACAGACUCAGGAGACACAAUAAACACAAACAUCACUCUACAAUCAGCUGCUGCAGCCACUGUUAAGAGGUCAAAGGUCAUUGACCGAGAGUCAGUGAACAACAAGAGAAAGGGGACCAACAGGAAACGUUCCAUUGCUCAGGUCAUAAGAUUCCAAUAGAGAACAAUCGUAAACUUCCUCGUGAAUUGGCUUGACAUGAUACCCUAAUGACAAUCUUAUUAUUUGAGUUAAGUUAGUUAUUAAAUCAUAGUUUCUACAACUAAAGUGAAAUUUAGAUAUAAAAAACAAAACACAGUGAUAAACAUUGCAUUACCAGUUAUUUCAACAAGCCUUUCCCUGAUCAUAAGUCUUACCGUAUACAGUCAGGUUCACCGUGUUCUCUCGGUUCCCUGCAGGAAACGUGGUGUAUUCACAGAUGUACGUGGCUUCGUCGGACAUGCGAAGUGAGGAGAAGGUGAUGGUGGUGUCUUCCAGAGUUGGAGUUCGUCGUCUCACCGCCGCAUUUUUGAAAGUGACGCGGUCCCUGUAGGGCGGGGCCACGGACACACCUAGGGACGGAUUGGCAAUCGCCACGUUCUGCUUUGUGCCAUUCACCAGUUUCUGCCACUUUACCUGGGAUAUUUUGACUGGUGGGGAGCUGUUGAUGAAACGACAGCGGAGAUCCACUUUGGAGCCCACAUACCCUGACUUCCCAUCAUCCAUCUCCACAGUCUGGCC